CACUAAAAUGAGGGACAGAG
rnacentral:miRNA from 1 species